rnacentral:tRNA from 1 species
GCCGGGGUGGCGAAAUGGCAUACGCAGUGCACUUAAAAUGCAUCGGCCGAAAGGUCUUGCGGGUUCGAGUCCCGCUCCCGGCACCU